AUGAGGUGGGCCACCACAAGCAUCCUCAGGGUAACUGAGUCAAACUCGACAAACACAAUGAGAGAAAAGAAACUAAUACAGCCUUCAACCCAGCACAGCAGAGGAGACCAGCAGCAGUUUGCAACCCUCUGGUGGACCCACCUCUUCGGUGUGGAGCAACAAAGGAGCACAGAAGCAGCGCAAGAUCCUCUGGUAAGCCCGCCCCUCUGGCCCAGUGCAGCAGAGGAGACCAGCCCCGCAGGUGCCAACACAACAGUGUCCAUGCUCACCCUCCUCUACCCCCCCAAAAAGAGAAAGAGGGCCUCAGCCAGGCAUGGUGGUGCACAUCUGUAAUCCCAGCACUCGGGAGACUGAGGCAAGAGGAUCGCUGUGAGUUCAAAACCAGCCUGGGCUACAUAGUGAGUUCCAGGUCAGUCUCAACUAUAUAGUGAGACGCUGUCUCAAAAAACCAAAAAAAGGGAGGGCCUCUCUGAGGCUCCCUAGAUGAAUAUUGAAGCCCAGUGGAAAAGUGAAGAAAAUCUCUGCAAUAAUGGCACACCACACCACGAAAGUUGGUAAGUUGGAGGGACCAGCACCUCACAUUGGAAUGUGGUCUAACUUCAGGGGAGACAACUGGAACCUGCAGUAGAACCUUGCAGAAUUCAACCAGCAGGAGAUCAGAGAUCUCAACGUGGGUCUUGCAGACAGAAAUCGGCCUGAACCUCAGGGGACAGCUGUUGGCUUCUUGAGACUAAUUAACAUAGACCUGCACACUCCCUGCCUACGCUGUCUAUUGGGUCAACAGAGGCAUUCCCUGAAGGAGGCCCUCUAUUUCUAUUUGCAUUUUUUAUUUUGAGAGUAAUAUUUUUCUCUUAUCUUUAAUCAUUAAAAAUUUUUAUCUAUCUUUUUCUUUUCAUAAAUUUUUUUCUUUUUUUACUAUCUUUUUCUUAUCAUCUUUCUCUCUCUCAUUCUAUCUCUCCCACCUUGAUCUUGUUCCUGCUCCUAUCCUAAUUCAAAUUUAUUUUCUUUCUUUUCCUUUUCUUCUAUUUUUCCAUCUCUCAAUUGCCACUAGUUUUUUUAAAAAGUGAUUACAGUCUCUAGCCUCCCUAUUGCUGUUAGUUUAUUCUGUUCUUGUGUAUAUUUUUUGUCUUCUCAUCUCUUCAACAGCUUCCCAGAGUUUGUGUGAUCUUCCUGUGUCCUCUGACUUCACUUCUAACCUUUCUCUAUCCUAUCUAUCUAUCCCUCCCUCCCCAACUCCUUCUAAAUCCCCAUCCUGAAGGGAAAAGUUGCUAUAUUGAAGAGUUUAUUCACUAUGAACAUAUUUUGGGCUGGUCCUCAAUUUUGAUUUAAUUCACAUAAUUAAAGAUGAUGGAUUAAUAACUACCACAAAUUAUCAUUUUCUAAGCUGUGCUUGAUGAUGUUGUGUUGCUGAUUGUAUCACUUGGGCUAAGGUGUUGUGAUUGUCCUCCCUGGUAUAAUGAAAAUGAGAUUGCCUUAGAGUCAUUAGAGACUCAAAACCUAAAGGCAAGCUAUAUCUGGAAGAUCGAAGUCUUAACCCAGGAAUUAAACCAAGGAUAAUACCAACAACAAAAAUAGAAAUCAGAAGACAAUUAAAUAAGGCAAAAAUACAGACUUCCACCUCACCAAAGAUAAACUCUUAGGGAAAUGAGGUUGAAAAAUCUGACAGUCAACCAUUGGACACCCUGAAUGAUAGCACAGAAAGUAACAAAAUAUAAAUGAGGC
ensembl:lincRNA